UCCAUAUAUUCCCCAAUUCCGUAAAAAUAAUAAGAUCCAUAGUUCAAAGUUUGAGCACAACAUCAAAUUGCAAAUUCUAUCCAGUUGGGAAAUUUGCAAAGGAAGUGCUCUAUUCCUUGAUCUCCUUGAGCUGAAACUUUUCAUGGUGGUUUAUAUUGUUAAGUCACUAGUGAAUACCAAAAAUCAGCUCAAUCCCUUUCUUCAAUGUUGUCCAAGAAAUUUCCCUAAGUUUCUGCCUAUUUGGAAGCUUUGUGAAGGAAGUACCAUGCAGGCAUUCCCAAAUGAGCUGAAUUGUUUUCCAGCAUCUCCAUAUAUUCAAGUAAACCCUCUUCCCCAAAUUUGAUCCAAAUCCAUUUAGCCAUUUGAGCCCAACUUCAAAUUCUAGUUUCUGGACCAAUUUUUGGUUUGUGAAGGAACUGUAAGCAAACAGGGUCUAAAUGACUUCAAAUUAUGUAAGCUUAUACUCCUUCCUAUCAUAUUCCAUUGUGACAGAGAUUCAGCUCCUUUCCUUCAUCCAUCUCUCCAGAAACAACUACAAACAGCUGCUGCCAGAAACUAUUUUGGUAGUUUUCUUCUUCCCAGAGCCUUCCUGUGGACUCCAUUCUCAUGUCUCAUCCUAUUUAGCAGUGAAUGAGAUGUUGGACAUGAUGGGACACGCAGGAAAGCCCCAGAGCAUGUAGGACCCGUGGUGACCACGCUUGGGACAGGCCAAAAUGGUGAACUGUGCUUUGUUGCCAUCGACACGACAGUUCCGGCCAGCCUCGGUGUGUCCUGGCGUGUCAAACAGCUUCGGGGAGUCCACGUAACCCCUCUCAUCAGCUUCCCCCUCCUAUUUUCCCCUCCCCCCGCCAUGAUAGUGGCCGCCGAGGUGCUGUCCCGUCAGGAAGUGUCGUCUUCCUCCCUCUCUUGGCCUCUUCUUCCUCGAGCUGUCUCGUCCUGCUGUUGGGUGAUGGUACGGCACCACCGAACGCUCGCCACCUUACCGGAGCACCAGUGAGUGGCUAAGAACGCCACGGUGGCCGAUCCUAUCUGCUCAUCAUCGGCCAGCUAUAUAUAGCCAUGACUGAGCCUUACCCCGAGCAUCUCAGCCCCCCAUUCUCCUCUCCCCACUCCACUGAUCGUCCCCGUCCCCUCCCCGGAGCUUUGGCUCCUCUCCUUGCCUCCAAUCGCCGCCAUGGCCGCCGCCCCUCCAUUGCUAAAUUCGCGUGGUGCAGGCCCCUUCUCUUCCUUCUGACCUCGCCCUUGUCCUCCCCUCUGCGGCGUGGACCUCUCCAACCCCUCUCCUAGCCCUCUGACAGCCGGUAGUCGCCGCACCAUUCGGCGCCCGAGCCCCGCCCGCCAUGGCUAGGGGCAACCUCGCCCGGGUUCUCCCCAGGCUCCGCCACCUACGGGGAUGGAUGCAGCUUGGUCCCCUGAGCUUGUUGGUGGCCAGAGAGCGACGAAUGAUGGCCGGAGCAACCGGCAGCCGUCGCCGGCGUCGAGCCCCUCCCUGUCCCCUGUCCUGUCGGGAGGAAGAAGAUGAGCGAGGGGAGGGAGGAGAGAGAGAGAGAGAGGAAGGAGAUGCCAUUGGCCCCAUUCGUCAGCCUGUGAGGCGUUGAUCAGCCCCGGGCCCCCGCGCUUAAGUGAAAAUGUAUUCUCCGGAAUGCGCUUUCUCUUUUGAAAAGCGUACUCGGCCCGGAGGCGCGUUCUGUUUCCAGUCAGGGACCUGUUUGUAGGAAUUUAUUUUUAUGGAUAGGUCCCUAAACUUCAUCGGGUCUUAUCUUUUUGCUCGGGACUCCGAUUGAGCCCCCUUCAAGAGAGAGCGAUGUCUGGCGAUCCUUUCCGCGGACUCUCAGCACCUCUUCCGGGAGUAUUCUUCAACCCCAGGCAAGCCGACCAUGUGAUAUAUGCCCUAAAGCUUUGCUCUGCGAUGUUCUUGCAUAUUAUUUCAAUAUGCUUAUGUGUGAGUGUAUAGUAAUGUUCUGUAUGAGAUGCUGACGAACCCUUGCUCGCAUUUUCUUCAAUAAUGGAACCACGCUUGAUUC